GCCGCGGUAGCUCAGUUGGUAGAGCAGUGGACUGAAAAUCCACGUGUCGGCAGUUCGAUUCUGCCCUGCGGCACCA
rnacentral:tRNA from 1 species